AGUUAAGAGAAAGAAUUGAACUUUCCAUAAUAGCCCCUAAAACUACUGCAUUAACCACUUUGCUACCUCAAC
rnacentral:tRNA from 1 species